rnacentral:rRNA from 1 species
GACGAACUCUGGCGGCGUGCUUAACACAUGCAAGUCGAACGGUAAGGCUCCAGCUUGCUGGGGUACACGAGUGGCGAACGGGUGAGUAACACGUGGGUGACCUGCCCUGCACUUCGGGAUAAGCCUGGGAAACUGGGUCUAAUACCGGAUAGGACCGCACCGUGAGGGUGUGGUGGAAAGUUUUUUCGGUGUGGGAUGGGCCCGCGGCCUAUCAGCUUGUUGGUGGGGUAAUGGCCUACCAAGGCGGCGACGGGUAGCCGGCCUGAGAGGGUGGACGGCCACAUUGGGACUGAGACACGGCCCAGACUCCUACGGGAGGCAGCAGUGGGGAAUAUUGCACAAUGGGCGGAAGCCUGAUGCAGCGACGCCGCGUGGGGGAUGACGGCCUUCGGGUUGUAAACUCCUUUCACCAUCGACGAAGGGUUUCUGACGGUAGAUGGAGAAGAAGCACCGGCUAACUACGUGCCAGCAGCCGCGGUAAUACGUAGGGUGCGAGCGUUGUCCGGAAUUACUGGGCGUAAAGAGCUCGUAGGUGGUUUGUCGCGUCGUCUGUGAAAUUCCGGGGCUUAACUCCGGGCGUGCAGGCGAUACGGGCAUAACUUGAGUACUGUAGGGGAGACUGGAAUUCCUGGUGUAGCGGUGAAAUGCGCAGAUAUCAGGAGGAACACCGGUGGCGAAGGCGGGUCUCUGGGCAGUAACUGACGCUGAGGAGCGAAAGCAUGGGGAGCGAACAGGAUUAGAUACCCUGGUAGCCCAUGCCGUAAACGGUGGGCGCUAGGUGUGGGUUUCCUUCCACGGGAUCCGUGCCGUAGCUAACGCAUUAAGCGCCCCGCCUGGGGAGUACGGCCGCAAGGCUAAAACUCAAAGGAAUUGACGGGGGCCCGCACAAGCGGCGGAGCAUGUGGAUUAAUUCGAUGCAACGCGAAGAACCUUACCUGGGCUUGACAUAUACAGGAUCGCGCCAGAGAUGGUGUUUCCCUUGUGGCUUGUAUACAGGUGGUGCAUGGUUGUCGUCAGCUCGUGUCGUGAGAUGUUGGGUUAAGUCCCGCAACGAGCGCAACCCUUGUCUUAUGUUGCCAGCACGUUGUGGUGGGGACUCGUAAGAAACUGCCGGGGUUAACUCGGAGGAAGGUGGGGAUGACGUCAAAUCAUCAUGCCCCUUAUGUCCAGGGCUUCACACAUGCUACAAUGGUCGGUACAGUGGGUUGCCAGUCCGUGAGGGCGAGCUAAUCCCGCAAAGCCGGUCUCAGUUCGGAUCGGGGUCUGCAACUCGACCCCGUGAAGUCGGAGUCGCUAGUAAUCGCAGAUCAGCAACGCUGCGGUGAAUACGUUCCCGGGCC